rnacentral:rRNA from 1 species
GGGAUGUGGGGACACUGUUGGGACCGCCUCUGCUAAAGAGGAGGAAGGAAUGGGCAACGGUAGGUCAGCAUGCCCCGAAUUAUCUGGGCUACACGCGGGCUACAAUGGGUGAGACAAUGGGUAUCGACACCGAAAGGUGAAGGCAAUCUCCUAAACCCAUCCGUAGUUCGGAUUGUGGGCUGCAACUCGCCCACAUGAAGCUGGAAUCUGUAGUAAUCGUGUCUCAAAAUGGCACGGUGAAUAUGUCCCUGCUCCUU